rnacentral:rRNA from 1 species
UACGUAGGGGGCGUAGCGUUGUCCGGAAUCAUUGGGCGUAAAGAGCGCGUAGGCGGCCAGAUAAGUCCGGUGUGAAAGUCAAAGGCUCAACCUUUGAAUGCCGCUGGAAACUGUCUGGCUAGAGUCCGGAAGGGGCGAGUGGAAUUCCUGGUGUAGCGGUGAAAUGCGCAGAUAUCAGGAGGAACACCGGUGGCGAAGGCGGGUCUCUGGGCCGUAACUGACGCUGAGGAGCGAAAGCAUGGGGAGCGAACAGG